rnacentral:rRNA from 1 species
CGUGUAGGCGGGAAGACAAGUCUGAUGUGAAAGCCCCGGGCUUAACCUGGGAAGUGCAUUGGAAACUGUUUUUCUUGAGUGCUGGAGAGGAAGGGGGAAUUCCCGGUGUAGAGGUGAAAUUCGUAGAGAUCGGGAGGAAUACCAGUGGCGAAGGCGCCCUUCUGGACAGCAACUGACGCUGAGACGCGAAAGCGUGGGGAGCAAACA